rnacentral:lncRNA from 1 species
UAGCAGUUUCUUUAUCUGUGGCUUCUCUGAUUUUGUAAGCGGUAAUAGCCACGUCCAUUUCAUGGAGUUUGUUGUAGAUUUGAUGUUCAGCCAAACCGUCAACAUUCCAUUCUGUUAUUCCUCGACCAUCAUGGUUGGAGGUCGAAAGGUAGGGAUUUUCUUCAAACUGAACGUCUGGGGGAGAAGGUUUCUUGUAAUAAUUUUUCCUAGUAGAAAAACGAUCACUGGUAAGUUUGGAAAGAGAGUUUUUUGGGUUGCUGGACUCAGCUUUCUGGUUGCUGGACUCAGCUUUCUCAGAGAUUUUAAACUUAGAAAGUUUGUCAUUGAUUUGUUCUAAGAUUUUUCCCGAAACCUUAAAAUCAUCGCUGAGAUUAGGGAAUUUUUCCUUUUGGAAUUCAGGAAUCUUGAAGAUGGGGUUGGUUAUA